GAUGAACGCUGGCGGCGUGCCUAAUACAUGCAAGUCGAGCGAACAGACGAGGAGCUUGCUCCUCUGACGUUAGCGGCGGACGGGUGAGUAACACGUGGAUAACCUACCUAUAAGACCGGGAUAACUUCGGGAAACCGGAGCUAAUACCGGAUAAUAUAUUGAACCGCAUGGUUCAAUAGUGAAAGACGGUUUUGCUGUCACUUAUAGAUGGAUCCGCGCCGCAUUAGCUAGUUGGUAAGGUAACGGCUUACCAAGGCAACGAUGCGUAGCCGACCUGAGAGGGUGAUCGGCCACACUGGAACUGAGACACGGUCCAGACUCCUACGGGAGGCAGCAGUAGGGAAUCUUCCGCAAUGGGCGAAAGCCUGACGGAGCAACGCCGCGUGAGUGGUGAAGGUCUUCGGAUCGUAAAACUCUGUUAUUAGGGAAGAACAAAUGUGUAAGUAACUAUGCACGUCUUGACGGUACCUAAUCAGAAAGCCACGGCUAACUACGUG
rnacentral:rRNA from 1 species